rnacentral:tRNA from 1 species
GCCGCCGGGGCCGAUUGGGUGCUAGGCAGCCGCCCCGAUGCUCUGCAGGCGCAUCACGCGCACCGGGCGCGAAACUGCGGCCAUGUAAUCUCUUGGUCGCAGGUUCGAAUCCUGCCGGGGGCA